rnacentral:rRNA from 1 species
UACGUAGGUGGCAAGCGUUAUCAGGAUUUACUGGGUGUAAAGGGCGUGUAGGCGGGUUUCCAAGUCGGAUGUGAAAAGGCAAGGCUCAACUUUGCUCGGUCAUCAGAAACUGGAGAUCUUGAGUGUCUGAGGGGAAAGCGGAAUUCCUGGUGGAGCGGUAAAAUGCGUAGAGAUCAGGAGGAACACCGGCGGCGAAGGCGGCUUUCUGGCAGACAACUGACGCUGAGGCGCGAAAGCGUGGGGAGCAAACAGGAUUAGAUACCCGGGGUAGUCCCU